UACGGAGGGUGCGAGCGUUGUCCGGAAUCACUGGGCGUAAAGGGCGCGUAGGUGGCGGAGCAAGUCAACGGUGAAAGCUCGACGCUCAACGUCGAGUCGGCCGUCGAUACUGCUUUGCGUCGAGCACUGUAGAGGCAGAUGGAAUUCCGGGUGUAGCGGUGGAAUGCGUAGAGAUCCGGAAGAACACCGGUGGCGAAGGCGGUCUGCUGGGCAGUAGCUGACACUGAGGCGCGACAGCGUGGGGAGCAACAGG
rnacentral:rRNA from 1 species